rnacentral:lncRNA from 1 species
UCACUCUUAGGAUCGCUAGAAGAGAGCCCAGUCGAGAAAAAGGAUUCACCAGAUAAAAGCUCAUCCAAAGGAAGAGUAUUGCAAUCCAGGAGAUCCUUAAGUCUUUUCUUUUCCUCGACACUCAACUCUACAGGUGUCAAAGAUGAAGCUUUGAUCCGACCCUAGUCCGGAAGUCCCCAAUUGUCCAUCAAAGCAUAAGAAACAAAAAAGAAAUAAUUUUUUCAUCCAUGAAUGGAUGAAGGUGCACCAG